rnacentral:rRNA from 1 species
AUACGUAGGGUGCGAGCGUUAAUCGGAAUUACUGGGCGUAAAGCGUGCGCAGGCGGUUUUGUAAGACAGGCGUGAAAUCCCCGGGCUCAACCUGGGAAUGGCGCUUGUGACUGCAAGGCUAGAGUGCGUCAGAGGGGGGUAGAAUUCCACGUGUAGCAGUGAAAUGCGUAGAGAUGUGGAGGAAUACCGAUGGCGAAGGCAGCCCCCUGGGACGAGACUGACGCUCAUGCACGAAAGCGUGGGGAGCAAACAGGAUUAGAAACCCCUGUAGUCC